CUUACCUGUAAAAUUCCUUUACCUUUGCCCUUCUUUGUUGGCUAUAAACAUGUCCUGUGCACCCCAAUCCGAAAGGAGGACUUAGUCAGGGUAUGAACACCAGGACUGGGAGUCACGGGGCAGGAACACUGCCUAACACCUUCUGGAAGGUGAAGGCCACCAUUCUGUUGAGGGGAGAUGGAGUGUCCAGCAGCCCAGGGAGCCUAGAGAGAUACAGCUUUCUCCAUCAGGGAAUGGGAGCUCUGGACGAACAGCUAGCUUGGAUGGAGCUGGGUGAUAAGGAACAGAGGGAAAGAGAGGUCCUGGGGAAGGACUGGCUCUCAGACUGCAAGGGAGGAAAAUGGACAGGGGCCAAUCCAAGAGGGCCUCCCCUGCAGUGACCCUGGGAAGGAGGUUGCUCCAUCUUUACUUCCUGACACAGAAGACAACCUCCCAGAGGACACAGGUUGUUGAGGUCCUGGUGGCUCCCCGUCCCCCUCUGAGAAUAACUGUGAGUUGAGCACUCCACUCCACCCUGCUCAGGGCUCUCUCCACAGUUCUUAUUUAUGUCCAGCAUGGGCCACUGCUGUUGAAGAGAAAGCCCCACACUUGGCUGUCAUCACUGAGACCAUAUUCAGGGCCAGGCCCUGCACUGGGCCCUUCACACAGGAUGGCAAUAUGCCCUGGCUGGCUGUGACAAUCCUGGGUUACUGGGGCAACUUUUCAUAGCCUCCUUUCCCUCCCCAAAGUGUCCCACUCUGGAAGGUAAUUAUAUAUUUGCCUUAACUUUACAGGUGGCUUGAUUCUUCCCUGACCCACCCUGAAGCACCCUGAACCACCCUUGCCCACACCCUGAGGUCUAUUCCUGGACAGAAAAACUGUUGCUCAAGUCAGAUUGACCAUCAGUGUGUUUUCUUUGAAACUAGCUCUUUGUACCCACCUCCUCUUAAGUUGCCUACAAAAAACCCUUGCUCUCUGUCACCAUGUGCCCUUCCCUCCUGAUUGCUCAGGUCGGCUUUGCGCCCCUCUCCAAGGCUCAAUAAAGUUGGUUUGGUCUGUUGAG